rnacentral:lncRNA from 1 species
GGCGAGGAUUCUCCUGUACCAACACCCAGGAUGCAACUGGAUAUGGACAGAGGAGAAGUAGUUGAUAAGAGGAAUUUUUGUUUACGAUGUCUGGGGAAGAUGAUUCCUUUCUAUCUAGAGCCAAAGAAGAUGAAUUUUGUGUAGUCUUCUGUUGCUUUAGUAUCGGGGGCAGGUGUCUCUGGCUGCACACAAUCUGAGCCAUAGCUAUAAUGAAAGCUGGGAGAACAGGUCCUAGCUUCUGUCACGUGGAAUCAUUGAUCAAAUCUGAAAAAUCCCUAAAUUGUGGUUCAUAUGUCCUUCAGAUCCCAAGUGGCCAUACACAUGGCUGAUGUCUACCAGGCAUUUGUAGAUUGAUUACCUCCUCAGGCAGGAUAAACCACAAGUGAAAGGCAUUCAGAAGCAAUGGAAGGACUAUUCUCUAAAUAUUGACCUGCUUUACAGGGUCCCUUUCAGCAUCUUUAACACUGAGGCUCAAAUACCCAACUGUAUUGAUCUGUGAGCUAUGUAUUGUUUCUGUAUUGGUUUCUGACCUAUGGCUUUCUAUGGAUUUGGAAAUAGGAUGCAUUCCCCGAUUCUAUGAUGGACAUUGGCCAGGCACUGAUCAGUGAGUCUGAAGAGCCUAAGAGAGGAUAGCUCUCAAGAGAAGGAGACCUAGACCCUGGAGCUGCAACAGCUUUUGUUCCCAUUCAUCCUUGCUCCUCACAGAUCCAAAUGUUGUUAGAACUCAGGAGGCGGUAGGUGUGACAGUCUAGAGCACAGACUUAUGAAUGUAGACCUAGGGACCAUUUCUGUCACUGGAAGCACAUGCUUGAUGAAGGGACCCAGAACCUCCUAGCUUCAGUUUUCCUAUCUAUAAGCAAAGACCCAUAUUUUAGUGUUUCAAUGAUGAAAUUGUUCAGAAGAAAUGUCCCUGUGGCAUUCCAUGGAUGAGGUACUUGGAGAAGUAGCAAGGAUUUGGCCAUGCUGUCAACUAGGAGAUGCAGAAAGUUUAGCUUAUGUGGUUAGUUUUUGUCAACUUGACCCAAUCUUGAGUCACUUGGGAAGAGAGAACUUCAGUUGAAGAAUUUCCUCUGUCAGAUUGGCAUGUGAUCAUUUUCUGUGGGGGCAUUUUUCUUGAUUAAUGAUUGAGGUGGGGGACCUAGCCCACUGUGGGCAGAAUCAUCCUCAAGCAAGUAGGCCUGGACAAUAUAGGAAAGCAAGCUGAACAAACCAUGGAAAGUCUUUUAUGCAUACAUAUGCAUACCUAAGAACUUUAAGUGUUUUUAUCUUACACAAAACAAUGGUCCCUUUCAUAGUGUUGUUUUCCUUCUUAUACUAUUGGCUAGUCCUCCCAUCCACUAUAUAAGAUCAUCUUUUCUCUUUUUCUUUCAUUUAAAGCAUUCUCCUUUAAUGACUCAAGUUUUACUACUGAGUCUUCAGGAGCUUUCCUGCAGGUUGCAAUGUUUUAUCUUUGAGGACAUUGCUCAAAAAGUACCUAAUCUUAACGCUUACUGCCUUUAUCAGAGUUUACCAAAAUUUUUCCUACCACUGUUUAUGAAGAUUUUCCUACCGCUGUUCACCAAAAUUUCCCUACCGCUGUUUACCAAAAUUUUCUUACCUCUGUUCACCAAAAUUUCCCAACCUCUGUUUAACAAAAUUUUCCUACAACUGUUUAACAAAGUAUUCCUACCCCUGUUUACCAAAGUUCUCCUACCGCUGUUUACCAAAGUUUUCCUAGCCCUGUUUACCAAAAUUUCUCAACCGAUGUUUACCAAAAUUUCCCUAGUGCUGUUACUAAAAUUUCCCUACCGCUGUUUACAAAAAUUUCCCUACUGCUGUUUACCAAAAUUUUCCUACAGCUGAUUACUAUGGUUUCUUUACCUCUGUUUACCAAAAUUUUCCUACUGCUGUUUAGUAAGGUUUCCUUACAACUGUUUAAUAAAAUUUCCUACCUCUGUUUACUAAGGUUUCCCUAACUCUGUUUACCUAAAUUUUCCUACUGCUGUUUACCAAAAAUUUUCCUACCACUGUUUACAAAGAUUUUCCUACUGCUGUUUACCAAAAUGUCCUUACUACUGUUUACCAAAAUAUCCCAACCUCUGUUUAUCAAAAUUUUCCUACUACUGUUUACCAAAGUUUAUUUACCACUUUUUAUCAAAGUUUUCCUACUGCUGUUUACCAAACUUAUCUUACUGCUAUUUACCAAAUUUUUCCUACCACAUAUUACUGAACUUUUUCGUACCACUUCUUAUGAAGUUUUUCUUACCAGUGUUUACCUAAAUAUCCCUACCAUGUUUACCAAAAAUUCCCUACCGUUGUUUACCAAAAUUUUCUUAAAGCUGUUUUCCAAAAUGUUCCUAUCACGGAUUACCAAAAUUUUUCCUAGCACUGUUUACAAAGAUUUUCUUACCGCUCUUUACCAAAAUUUUCCUACCACUGUUUAACAAUGUUUUCCUACUGCUAUUUACCAAAAUUUCCCUACCGCUGUUUACCAAAAUUUUCCUAACACUGUUUACAAAAAAUUUCCUACCACGGAUUACCAAAAUUUUUCCUACCACUGUUUAAGACGAUUGUCCUACAGCUGUUGACCAAUAUUUUCCUACUGCCGUUUAUCAAAACUUUUCCUACCGCUGUUUACAAAAGUUUGCCUACUGCUGUUUACCAAAAAGUUCCUUUCACUGUUUAACAAAAUUUCCCUACUGAUGUUUACCAAAAUAUUGCUACGAUGGAUUACCAAAAUUUUUCCUACCACUGUUUACGAAGAGUUUUUUACACCUGUAUACCAAAAUUUUCCUACCUCCGUUGACCAAAAUUUCCCUAAGCUGUUUACCAAAAUUUAUCCUACCACUGUUAAUGAAGAUUUUUCUACCGUUGUUUACCAAAAUUUCCCUACCACUGUUUACCAAAAUUUUCUUACCUUUGUUUAUCAAAAUUUCCCAACCUCUGUUUACCAAAAUUUUCCUACCGCUGUUUAACAAAGUUGUCCUACCACUGUUUACCAAAAUUUCCCUAAGCGGUUUACCAAAAUUUAUCCUACCACUGUUUACGAAGAUUUUCCUACCGUUGUUUACCAGAAUUUCCUUACCACUGUUUACCAAAAUUUUCUUACCUCUGUUUAUCAAAAUUUCCCCACCCCUGUUUACCAAGGUUUUCUUACCUCUGUUUACUAAAAUUUCUACCUGAGUUUACUAAGGUUUCCUUACCUCUUUUUACCAAAAUUUCCCUACUGCUGUUUACCAAAAUAUCCCUACUGCUGUUUACCAAAAUUUUCCUACCGCUGUUUACCAAAAUUUACCUACCGCUGUUUACCAAAUUUCCUACCGCUGUUUACCAAAGUUUUCCUACCACUGUUUACCAAAAUUUUCCUACCGCUGUUUACCAAA